GGGUAAAGAAAUAGCAGUGAGACUACACAGAUUUGCAAUGUAAUUAAAACUCUCCUUAAGCUUAAGCUGACUUUUGACAACUUUGGAGAAGUUUAUAAGUCUGUGUCUCCUUAAGGCAAAAGCACUGGUUUGUCUUGAAAUUACCAUAUAGUUCUCCUACGUUAAUUUUUCAAUAAACUCGAUAAUGCCUCCAUUCCCACUAUGCAUGGAGUUAAUGACUGCUCUCUCAAAAAGGGCGUGUAGCCCUGUCCUCAACAGUCAGUCAGCCUCAAGAAAUUCUCUGUCACGGAAAAGUGGAAGUAAGACUAAUUCCCUGUCCGUGAAAAUGGGAGGUCUUUUUUCCUUCUGAUCACCACAUUUUUCAGGAUUUAGCUGACAAAGCAUCCUGAGGAGCGCACGGUGGCGAACCAGUAAUCUUCACAAGCUGCCAACUCUGGCCUAACGGUUUAGGACAGAUCCGCCACCGGCGUCCUGCCACCCCACACAGCAGCCCUUACUCACGGACCCUGACUGACGUGGGCGGUCUGUCGCCCUCCGAAUGCCUCUUCACUCCCGAGGAGCCCUCCCUCCCUCCCGGCUCAGCUCCAUGCACCUGAGGAGAUGGACCAGGGCAUCAGUGUGCUUUCCUCUCCGCGCCUCCGCAAGGCAAAGGGCACAAACCCAAGCCAGGACUGUUGUAAUCUGUAUGCCUCAGGAAUCCUGCCUGGAGACCUGGAGCCGAAGCAAGGUCUGGCCUCUGUUCUUUUUCUCCCAUCAGUGUGUAUAUGAAAGCAGUUAUGUUGGUCAUUGUUGGAGUAGGUCAUUGAGAGGAUGUGGCCACUGGUUGACCAUUAAGCUGGACCCAGGCUCCUCACUCCCUCCCCUAUCCUUGGAGUAUAUUCUGCUCACUGUUCCCACAGGGGGACACAUUUUCAAGAAUGAAGCCUUAAGAGAGAAAUGUAUGUUGAGACUAUCUGAAGAGUAUGUGUGAUGGAACCCAGGUAAGCCUUCUAUAUAAAUUUUUAGGACUCUGGCAGGUGGGUGCGGAGAUCUA
rnacentral:lncRNA from 1 species